GGAACUCAUUUAUGCUGACAGACUAAAAGCAAAUACCAAUUUAUUGAAAAUGGUAUUUGAAGCACUCAAUUACAUAAUAUGCAAUGAUUAUGCAAAGCACAGGACCAAGACUUGUAAUCCAAUAACUAAAAGAACCUUAAAGCAACCAACUGCAAAUAAAAAAUACAAAGGUUGUGUACAUGCUUCCCCAUAUAAUGGUAUCAUGGAUGAAAACAUUAAAAAAAAAAAUGAAAAUUCUCUGGCCAUGACUGAACCAAGGGCCCAAAACAUUAGGCCAUCACUCCUGUCUUUCAUGUAACAAAAAGUUGUGGCCAUGAUAAACAUUCUCCCGGUCCAAAAUGAUCAUACUACUGAUCAAUAGUGAUACAGCAUGUUGUGAUGCCAACAAAAACAUAGUGGGAAUUCCAAUAACUGUUCACACGAAAAAACCCAAUAAAACCAAAGCAAAGCACAAAACACCAACCUCUUACCCAAAGAUGAAUAACCAGAACAGAAAUGAUAGUUACUGUUAUGAAAAUGAAGGUAAUAGAUGAAAGAUUUUGUCAAAAACUACUCAAAAAAUCCACACAUGUUGGCCAUCAUGGAAAUUGUACACACAACCAAUUACUGUCCUUUCCAUUGCAAUAAACUCCGGAUUAGCCAAAACGAUCAAGUCUUGAAACAUUCCAAUGCAUAUGCUAAAAACAGAGCAACUCACAACAUAGAAGCACAUAAGCAGUCACAACAUUCAGGCCAUGGUAAAAAAUACAGUGACACCGGUCAAUGAAUGAAAGAGAGUCACUAAAAGAUGCACACCUUUUUUGCUCUGUCAUCUUUGUC
rnacentral:misc_RNA from 1 species